AGACGCUUCCCUAAUCCUCCACCUUCUCAAGACAUACAAAUCAACAGAUUAAGUGUAACCAGGUUUCCUCGAUUAUUUCCCCUAAAGAUAAAAGAAGCGUAACACCUGCGUCAAGAUGGCCUUUCGGAAGGAUAGCAGGUAGAGGGCCUGCUCUUCUCCAUCUUGCUGGCUUCAGAUGGUACAUUUUGUGUGCCAACUGCUUGUCCUCUGUCCAUUGGGCCUGGUCCAAGGAGAGCGAGUUGACUUGGAUUUGGAAAUAACUUGACCACUUGGGAAGCUUUGUGUUUGUAGCCAGCUGCUUCUGGCCAGGGAUUUGUCUCUGGUAGCACUGCAACCCACUGUUCCUGGGCUCAUCCCAGAACUGGGGACCCACAGCCUUCACCUGACGACGGCACAAGGAAACUGGAACUCUGAGGGAUCUUGAACUCGGAGCUGGAGUCGGGUGAUGGGGAAAUUGAUGACACAACUCUAUUCAGAUACGCAAAAUGCUUCCAUGGUUUUCAAGGAGAGGAAAACAAAGCCUGGGAGACAGGAAGACAGCUGCUGAUGCCGCAUGUCCCUCUGUGUCGGACAUUUAGCUCAUCCGCAGCAUCUUUUUCCUUUUUCUCUCCUAAGGACGUGGACACGUGUCCUAGCCAUAGAGAGGAACACCUUACAGACGAGCAUGGCCUUCCAGACUGCCUGCCCUGCCCUGCCCUGCUCUCGCCCGUCGAGAGUACUGAAGCACCCUGCCUUCUACCUUCUAGCCUGGGCGCACCCGUCCUCAGUCCGAUGCCGGGAAGGAUGCCGGUUCGAUGGCCACCUUCCUCCCUGGACCUAAGUCCUCUGAGGUCAAGCUGUCUCCACCAGUCACUGCAGGACACCUGUGGCCACAUGAGGCCCGGCUCAGGAAGUCUCCCAGGUACCCAACCAAGAAAGGACAAGAGCCUUACCCUGUGGAAAUGUACUUCAACUUUUCCCACACUAUUUACCGGACACUUCAUUAGAGGCUCUCAAGCCUCAGAGAGGACUAGAAGCAUUCUGUAGAGGGUUGUCAUUAUCUUACUUUGCUGCUAAGAGACUGGAGCAAUGACUGGUUAAAACAAUUUGCCAGUGUCCACGCUGUGAGGUGGGAGUACAGCUUGGCGCACUGUCUCUCCUCCUGUCCUGUCACUGUCUCCCACAUGUGUGUUCUGGAAGUGCGCAGCACUGACAAGUCUGCAUCUCGGAGCACCUCUGAGUUUCUCCCCAUCCCCCGGAGAGUACUGCAGCGUCCACGCUGGCUCUUCCCAGGAUGUGUUCCUGCUUUGUCCACAGCAUGCUCAUAAAUAAACAAGUACCUUCGGGAGGGAUGGGAAACUUACCAUGGGGCCAGGAGGACCGUGGGGGCCUGGGGGGCCCGGUGGGCCUAUGAUCUGCGUAUCCAAAAAACAAACAUGGAUUUGGUUACUCCAUUUAGAUAAGGCAGGUCAGCCUGGGUCUUGUGCUCGGCUCUGCUAAGGCCAUUAACAGCCACCGCGAAAGAAAGACUGCAGGAAGUGAUGUUUGGUUUUCUGGGUUUAGAAAUUCCUUCAUGAGAGUCCAAUAGCUUAAAAAACACAGUUGUACGAAUGCCCAAAUGUAUUAAACAUACAUUAAAGGGAAAGAAGCAACUGACUACCAAGAAUGGCUAUAAUGCCACAACCACUGUGAAACUCCAAUAUUUCGCCAUGUGCCGACAGGGAGUCUGGAGAAAAGAAAGAAUAUAAGCUCUACUUUUCACAAAACUCUACCCAUAAGUGCUGUGGGAAAACUGCUGACAUUGUUUUCUUCUUGGAAUUCAACAGCCCUUUGGAAAACUGCUUCUGACCCGGGCAGCUGACACGCGGUGUCUCUCAACACGCGGUGUCUCUCACUGGGCAAGGGGACGGGCUGUCUUGGUGCUCACUCUGCCUGCUGCUGGCGCGCUAUGCCAUGGCUGGCCUGGGGAACUGCAACUCUGCCCGCGCGUUCCGGGAGCCGGGGUGUUCGGCCUGGGCACUUACGGAAGGACCUUGAGGGCCUGGCAGUCCGGAGUCUCCCUUUUCUCCUUUCAUCCCAUUGGCACCCUGCGAAUAACAAGCAGGAGGGCGGCAGGUCGGCAAAGGCAGCUCCAGUGUGUAAGGGACACUGAGCGUCCUCCCCAGCCGCACCCUUCUCUUCAGGUUUUAUAUGAUGAUGCACAAGAUGUAUAAAAGGACUUAUCUCCUUGUAUUUUAGCUUAAAAUAGCACUUACUAAAAUAUCCAGGAUUAUGGGUCAUAAAAUAGAUAAAAAGCUAGGCUGGACUUGAUUAAACUUACACAGUAUUAAAUAUAUUGGGUUAUAAAUGUUGUAUCUUUUAUGGUGGAAUUCAUUUCAAAUAGCAAAGUUAAACCCUUUAACUUCGUUUUCAUGGACAUUUAUUUAUUUACUUUCUUUAAAAAAGAUGUAGGGCAGGAAAGUUCACUACAUUUUAAAAAAUAGCUUCUAUAUUUCCCCUGCAAAUUCUCAGUAAAACUUGGGGAGGGGGGAAACCAUAAAAGCACUGUCUGAUAGCAUCAUGCACACAAGGAGAACACCUUAGAGAAUAAUUUGUCUUUAAUUGUUCUCUACAGAUAUCCUUUUUUUGAGAUAGUCUCGCUAUGAAGUUCAGGCUGCCCUUGAACUCACUAUGUAGCCCAGGCCGGCCUUAAAUUGCAGUGAUCCUCCUGCCUCAGCCUCCCAAGUGCUGGGAUUACAGGUGUGUGCCACAUCUGGCUUGUUCCUUAUUUUUUGAUUUAUCGUGAUAAAAUAAGCCAAAAAGAAAUGUUACCACCAUAUUAUGCAUACUAAAUCAAAGUGACCAGUUAUAUUUAUCUUACCAUCUUCUAAUGAAAACAAUUUAGGAAAGCAUGAGGGUUUACUUUCUAAUGCUUUUGCCUAUAUACUUUUCCAUUUUAGUUCCCCAGUUGGAGUAAUUAGCCACUAAUACUUCAAAUAGUUCAAAAUAAAAAUACUCUAGGAACCAUUGAUUGAGGUUCAGUUAAUAAUUCUUUUCUGGUUUUUAGGUUGUCUUAAAAAGAACAUACCCUAAGAAGUAUAAACAUACCGGUAAUCCAGGAAGCCCAAUUCCUCCUUUUUCACCUGGCACCCCUGGGUCCCCUGUGUCUCCCCUUUGAGCCUUUGAGUCCCUAAAAAUGACAAGAUUUGAAUGUAAGAAGUGCAGCGACCGACAGUUACAUUCAGGGAAAAGAGAAUAUAGAUCUGUUUUCUCAACAGGUGAAUUGAAUGCGGAGAUGACUGUGUUCAUGCUUAGGUAGAGCUGUUUCUUAAAAUCUGCACUGAAUCAAUAUUGAUUCCCCACGUAAGGAAGGGAUUUAAAUUCUAUUAAUCCAUUUAAAUAGGAAAAACACGAACGUAGGUUUUGACAUCACUUCUCCUGGUUUCAUGUUUUACUGGCAGCUAAUUCCAACUUAGCAGUCCUGAAAACAGUGUAACGGCUCUAAUUCUAGCAGUACAGUGUACAAUUUGAAUGAGAAUCUAGUGCUAGAACACAGGUCCAAACAGAGUUCUUCCCUACCUGCUUAUUCUAACUACACGCAGACUUCCAGCCAUCAGUUUUCAGUGGUCCAGGCUCCAGACAGGUAAAUCAUCUACACUAAAGCUCAACGAUGCUUAAAAUCACUUCAACUUUUCCACAGCGUUCUUAUUUUUCUAUCUCUGCGAAGCGAGCCGGGCUGUUUUUAUUUUCCUCUUACAGUGAGGAAAUAGACAAAUGUGCAUUUGGAGUGUUAAUUCUGAAUUGCGUAACUUGAGUACUGAAAUUAACUUCUCUGGUAACCACUUUCAUCGUGGGGAUCUCGGUAUGAGCAGCUGGCCUAGCCUUCAGAGAGGCCGCUCAUGCUCAUGUGGCACGGGGCCUGCAGGCAGCACAAGGGACAGGAACACGUAUGUCCCUUGUGAUCCGAGCCUAUCUUGGGAACUAGUUCAGAACCGUGCAGUGGGUGGGUGAGUGGGGUGCUGCCUGAAAAGGUGGAUCCAUCCUCUCGGCUAAUCAGACCCUUGUGAUGGAAACAGGUGACACGCCCAACUCCCAGAAGGGCCCAAAGCUUAUAGAAAGACCCGAUUAUCGUGUAUGUGGGGCUGUGUAGUGAGUACGGCAUUACACGUGUCAGCUUAUUUAUAAUGACAGCAGGAGGGGUCACACAGCCAGAGCUUUAGAUCCUCAUGUGAUCUUGGUGAGAUAGCAAAUCCAUUAUUUUUUAUCAUACAUUCUUUAGUGUGGCACAUGACUUGAUGUACAACUCUGAUAUUAAAAAUAACACUUCUCAUAAACUUCUUGCCUGAUAGUUUCUCCCAAGGAAUGCAUGUUCACUGGCUGGACCAAGAAUCCCCUCGUAGCCAGGUGUGGUGGCCCAGGCCUCUCCUCCCAGCACUGUGAGAGGCUGAGGCAGAGACACCAGGGCAAGCCCAGCCCAGGGAACUGAAUGACUUAGCGAGAUCCUAAGUCAAAGUGAAAACCAGGAAAAGGGCUGGGGAUGCAGCUCUGUGUGGAGAGCUCUGAAUUCAAUUCCCAGUGCCAGAAAAAAGAAAAAAAAUAAAGAACCCCUUUGAUAUCUUAUAAUCUCUGUGAUUUUAGCCAUUGCUGGCAUAAAUAAGGGAAUCUCAGAAAACAUUAAACAUCUUUAAAUACUCCUUUGAUUCUGAAUGUUGUCCACGUCCUCCUAGGAAGAGUCUUAAGAGGCAGAAGGCACCCAAACCACAGCCCUUGUCCCACGACAGCCUAGGCUGUGUCUUGGUUCAGGCAGAAUUUCCAACAAGUGCUAAAGGGAACAUGUGCUGGAGAUACAUGCAGCCUGCAAAGCCCAAGACAUGAACCUCUGCCUAGGGGAGCCCCGAGGUAACAUACUCUGUAGGACUCUAAAUGCCCCACUUGCUCUGUCUUUUCUAAGGAUCUAGGCAAUUAGUUAUGACCUCUACUUGGGAAAGAAAACAUUGUCAGAAAUACACAUUAGCAGUACCUUGUUUUUUAGUAAUUCAUCCCCAACUUCAGUCUGGAGUCACCUGUACUCACUGACAUUCUUACUAAGUUGGUAACGAUGGUGCAGGUUUAUUAAAAUGCAGAGGAGUCACUGGUAGAUUGGUGGGAGAUACUGAGAACAAACCAAAGUACCAUGUGGCUUUGUGUUUCUGCAAAUAAAAACUAAAGUCAAACUUGAGACCAAUUGCUUUGUCGAGUUCAUGUGGC
rnacentral:lncRNA from 1 species